GAAGAACAGAACAAAGUGCCAUAAAUUUAUCUUCCACGUAUUAAAUUAACACAUACGCAUUCACAAAUAUAAUACAAACCAGAAGAUCUAUGAAAUAACGAGUUAGAAUCAAAAUCUUAAAAUCAGAUAGAAUUAACUUACAAUUCUUUUUUCCUUGUUUUCUGAAGGGCUCGUGUAGAACAGAAAAUUCUUAACGAAGGGAAAUAAAUGAAAAGAGAUUAGAGAAAGCAAAACAGGAUUUGUUUACCUUUAA
rnacentral:lncRNA from 1 species